ACCCCACGAAAAGACCAUCUCAGUUCGGAUUGCAGCCUGCAACUCGGCUGCAUGAAGCUGGAAUCGCUAGUAAUCGCAGAUCAGAAUGCUGCGGUGAAUACGUUCCCGGGUCUUGUACACACCGCCCGUCACACCAUGGGAGUUGGAAAUGCCCGAAGUCAGUGACCGAACCGAAAGGAAGGAGCUGCCGAAGGUGGAGCCGAUGACUGGGGUGAAGUCGUAACAAGGUAUC
rnacentral:rRNA from 1 species